rnacentral:rRNA from 1 species
AUCAGUUAGUUGGUGGGGUAAUGGCUUACCAAGACUAUGACACAUAACUGGUUUGAGAGGAUGAUCAGUCACACUGGAACUGAGACACGGUCCAGACUCCUACGGGAGGCAGCAGUGGGGAAUAUUGCACAAUGGACGAAAGUCUGAUGCAGCAACGCCGCGUGGAGGAUGACACAUUUCGGUGCGUAAACUCCUUUUAUAUGAGAAGAUAAUGACGGUAUUAUAUGAAUAAGCACCGGCUAACUCCGUGCCAGCAGCCGCGGUAAUACGGGGGGUGCAAGCGUUACUCGGAAUCACUGGGCGUAAAGAGCAUGUAGGCGGAUUAAUAAGUUUGAAGUGAAAUCCUAUAGCUUAACUAUAGAACUGCUUUGAAAACUGUUAAUCUAGAAUGUGGGAGAGGUAGAUGGAAUUUCUGGUGUAGGGGUAAAAUCCGUAGAGAUCAGAAGGAAUACCGAUUGCGAAGGCGAUCUACUGGAACAUUAUUGACGCUGAGAUGCGAAAGCGUGGGGAGCAAACAGGAUUAGAUACCCUGGUAGUCCACGCCCU